AUUGAACGCUGGCGGCAUGCCUUACACAUGCAAGUCGAACGGUAACAGGUCUUCGGAUGCUGACGAGUGGCGCACGGGUGAGUAAUACAUCGGAACGUGCCCAGACGUGGGGGAUAACGAGGCGAAAGCUUUGCUAAUACCGCAUACGAUCUAAGGAUGAAAGCAGGGGACCGCAAGGCCUUGCGCGUUUGGAGCGGCCGAUGGCAGAUUAGGUAGUUGGUGGGAUAAAAGCUUACCAAGCCGACGAUCUGUAGCUGGUCUGAGAGGACGACCAGCCACACUGGGACUGAGACACGGCCCAGACUCCUACGGGAGGCAGCAGUGGGGAAUUUUGGACAAUGGGCGAAAGCCUGAUCCAGCAAUGCCGCGUGCAGGAUGAAGGCCUUCGGGUUGUAAACUGCUUUUGUACGGAACGAAAAGGCUCUGGCUAAUACCUGGGGCACAUGACGGUACCGUAAGAAUAAGCACCGGCUAACUACGU
rnacentral:rRNA from 1 species